rnacentral:rRNA from 1 species
CCCUUAGAUGUUCUGGGCCGCACGCGCGCUACAAUGAUGAAUUCAACGAGUUUAUAACCUUGGUUGAAAAGCCUGGGUAAUCUUUUGAACUUUCGUCGUGAUGGGGCUAGACCCUUGCAAUUAUUGGUCUCCAACGAGGAAUUCCUAGUAAACGCAAGUCAUCAGCUUGCGUUGAUUACGUCCCUGCCCUUUGUACACACCGCCCGUCGCACCUACCGAUUGAAUGGUCCGGUGAAAUCUUCGGAUUGAGACUUUGAUUUCUUCACGGAAAACGCUGUUUUAAGAAGUUGAUUAAACCUUACCAUUUAGAGGAAGGUGAAGUCGUAACA